CUGGGCGCUGGGAGCCGCUGGCUGGACCUGGCUGUGCAGUAUGCCCCAGAGGACCUGAGAGUGACGGUCUCCCUGGCAAACAGGACAGGGGGGGCGGCGACGCAGGCUGGGGUAGAGCUGGUGGCCAUCGGGGACGUGGCUGUCAAGACCCUGCUCCUCCUCCUCUGCCUCGUCGCCCUCAUAGUGAAGUCCCGCAGCAGGAAGGCAGCCAGGACAUCGGGGGACCAGGAAGAUACAGGCACAUCCUGGGUUAAGCCCUUAGACUCCAGGCUGAGUGUCCAGAGACCCUCCCCGUCCACCCUGCAGGGUCACGGCCCUGCCCUCUCCACGGACUGAGACCAGGUGCAGACAGCUCAGGCUGGGGUGAAGACCAGGCUGCCUCAUACCGUCCCCCCAUGCAGCCCGACAGCGCCUCUGUGACUCAGACUUGGCAUGUGCUGUUCCUUCUCCCAAAAUGCCUUUCCCUUCCCCUCCUGCCUCUCCAUGUCCCGAGCAUCCUUCAGAUCAGCUUAGUAUCUCUGAAUGUGUGUGUGUGAGAGUGUGUGUGUGUGUAGAGAGACAGGGGCUGAGGUCUAAGCAGCAAUAAGGAAGCAGGGCCUGCGUUUCCCUCAGAAAAUGACAGCAGGCGGGGGCCUCCCUGGUGGCGCAAGGAGUUAAGCACAAGACUAUGACACUAUCCGCAGCCUCUGCAGCACGAGUUCCAUCCCUGGUUGGACAGGGAGCAACCCCCACGGCGCAGCAGACCUCUCCUGUCUCCCCGCUGCUCCCCUCGGCAGUGGAUUUCAGUCAAUCUGCCUGUUCUGUUCCCCACUCUGUCUCUGGGGCAUCCUCUCACCCCCCCCACCUCUGGCCUGCACCCCAGCUCUUGUACGCAUAAAAUAAAUAAUA